CGCGUGCAGGAAGACGGCCCUCUGGGUUGUAAACUGCUUUUAUAUGGGAAGAAAAGACUCCUGCGGGAGGCAUUGACGGUACCAUAGGAAUAAGCCACGGCUAACUACGUGCCAGCAGCCGCGGUAAUACGUAGGUGGCGAGCGUUAUCCGGAUUUAUUGGGUUUAAAGGGUGCGUAGGCGGCCUGUUAAGUCGGUGGUUAAAGGUAGCAGCUUAACUGUUUUACAUGCCAUCGAUACUGACAGGCUUGAGUUAUCAGAAGGCAGGCGGAAUUUCUGGUGUAGCGGUGAAAUGCAUAGAUACCAGAAGGAACACCUAUUGCGAAGGCAGCUUGCUGCAGAUAAACUGACGCUGAUGCACGAAAGCGUGGGGAGCGAACAGGAUUAGAUACCCUGGUAGUCCACGCCGUAAACGAUGAUUACUAGUUGUUGGCGAUAUACAGUCAGUGACCAAGGGAAACCGAUAAGUAAUCCACCUGGGGAGUACGCCGGCAACGGUGAAAC
rnacentral:rRNA from 1 species